rnacentral:rRNA from 1 species
UACGGGGGGGGGCAAGCGUUGUUCGGAAUUACUGGGCGUAAAGGGCUCGUAGGCGGCCAACUAAGUCGGAUGUGAAAUUCCCAGGCUUAACCUGGGAACUGCAUCCGAUACUGGAUGGCUUGAAUCCGGGAGAGGGAUGCAGAAUUCCAGGUGUAGCGGUGAAAUGCGCAGAUAUCGGGAGGAACACCAAUGGCGAAGGCAGCUUGCUGGGACGGUACUGACGCUGAGACGCGAAAAGCGUGGGGAGCAAACAGG